rnacentral:rRNA from 1 species
UACGAAGGGGGCUAGCGUUGCUCGGAAUCACUGGGCGUAAAGCGCACGUAGGCGGAUCUUUAAGUCAGGGGUGAAAUCCCAAGGCUCAACCUUGGAACUGCCUUUGAUACUGGGGAUCUCGAGUCCGGAAGAGGUUGGUGGAACUGCGAGUGUAGAGGUGAAAUUCGUAGAUAUUCGCAAGAACACCAGUGGCGAAGGCGGCCAACUGGUCCGGUACUGACGCUCAUGUGCGAAAGCGUGGGGAGCAAACAGG